CCAACAAUCUGCAACACAAACUUACACGUACCAAGUGCUGGUUCAUGUACUGGCUGUAUUCCAGGUUCCCAAGCCCCCAAUGCACCUAGAAUCUGUGUGUUCUGGCUGGGAACAAUAUUGAGAUUUCAUCCCUGGACCUUCUGAAGCCAGUGCGUCAGUCCAGUUCUACCCACCACACAGACAGCAGUGGAAGCCGGUAGCCCUGUCCAAUACUUCUGGGUGUGCAGAUGAGCUGAUGAGAGUGAAAGACACCGGGGUGGGCAAGAGGGCACAACUGGACAGCGGAGGCAGAGAGAGAAGGAUGGACGAAGCAGACAGGCGUGCCAUCGAUUCCAGAGAGACGCCCCAUCGACCAGGCCCACUGACUGAUGGAGGCCCUGCUCCAAGGCUAGCUUGAGAGAAAGAGAGAGCGCUCACUGAGACCACUUUCGCCAGCCUGACCUGCCCUGCCUACAAACGGGACAUUUAGAUGGAUUGGAUGGAUGGAGGAGCAUUACGCAGAAAAAAAAAACAAAAAAGAAAAUGAUCGAGAUAGAUAAGAGGGUUCUACCUAUGGAACCAUUUAUGUUUUGUCUAUAGAAUGCAUGCGAGUUACCAAGUGAUGGUUACCAUGGCUAUAACUGUAACCAGUUUUGUUUCCAUGCAUUGUCUCUGCAGCCAGAUGAAGACAUUUUAAUUUAUGAAAACAUUAAAGGAAUAUUCUGGGUUAUUUAUAACUUAAAUGUCUAUGGACAGCAUCUGUGGCAUCUGGCUUAUACUGCCAGUGCACUAUAAGCAUUUUGUGUUCGUCUAAAUUACUGUCUGCAGUAACUAACAGCAUGCCACAGAUUUAGUCCACACACAUUUCAAAUAUAAAUAAUAUUCCUAAAAUAUUCCAAAAUUUAGGAUGUGAUUUGACUUCAUCUAUCAGUAACCGAUUGAAUUGUGAAAAGCUUGUUUCACACUGGAAUGUAGCUAGACUGAAUGAUAGUUUGAUAGAUAUCAAUGAUGUCAGCGAAAACAGAAAAUCAAGUGUGCCAUGUACCAUGAAUCGUUCCCAAUAAAACCAAGAACAUUAAAUUAAUUCUGGUCCAUUUUAGUGAUUUCAGGUUCACUUAAAGAAAGAAUCAGCUACUCUGCUAUGAAAAACCCUGAAAAAAAAAGAAGAAGAAUAUCACAGGUAGCCUACUUAAAAUCUUUAAAAAUACUCUCAUCUUUUGUUAUAAUAAUGUGAAAAUAUGAGGUGGUGCAAGAGUGUGAGAGAGCGAGAGCGAGAGCGAGAGAAAGAACAAGCUGGUGUGGAUUAAAGCAAAGAAACAGGGCUGGAGGUGCAUCAGCGCUGGCAGAACUGAGAGAGAGAGAGCUGGUAAACACAGACGCUAGCACAGCUAAUCGUCCGCUCAUGCCACUCAGCAGGAGUGCCCCUGACAGUGUGUGUGUGUAUGUAUGUGUGUGUGUAUGUUUACACACCCCCACUCUCCCCCACUGCAUGUGCACAGCAAACGGUAACCACGCUGGAGAACAGAACUUCCCCCUGCUGCCAUAGCACCUCCA